rnacentral:tRNA from 3 species
UGCCGAUCUAGUAUAAACGGUAUUAUCAAGCCGUAACUGGUGGAAGAUGUAGGUUCGAAUCCUACGGUCGGUAA